CUCUGGUAUGAACUGUUCUGGGAGAAGAAGCGGAGAGGAGAUUUUAAUGGACUCACUGGGAAACCAGUUCAAAUGAGAGAAAAUAGGUGUUGAUGGUGGCGGGUGAGCGGCUGACGGUCCCGACGCAUUCCGUCUUUUACGGGACAAACCAUGGUGAAAUCCACCUUGCGCCGAGUUACCUGCAUUUUGAGGUCUCCUGGACCUAGGAUGUCGUGAGCGGUGACACAGCCAAACAUGUCCUGGGUUCUCAGCCUUCUUUACAAAAUAAAGACGAUAAGGUCUAUUAUGUGAAGCAAGACAUGCAAAGCUCUUGUCACAGUGCCAGGCACACAGCAGGCACUAAAUAAAUGUUGAAAUAUGAAGACGAUGCUGUCAGUGAUGAUAACACACCAGCUGAAUGCAGCCUGACAGCUUACUCAGCCGCCUUCUCAUACAUUCUGCUGAAACUUGGGGGCUGGUCCUCAGAAUCUGGAAAGGCCCUGCCUCCCCCACGUUCUGGAUGUCAGGUAUUCUUUAACCAAACUGCUUGCCUAUCAUGCAUGCUUUUGUUCCAGCCGUCAUCAGUUCCUACAUCAAAAUAAUCAAAUCGUCACGAGCUUGUGACUGCUGCUUCUGGGAAGGAGCACCUGGCCGCUGUGAAACCAUUACCCGGGGCGUGGGAGAGGAGCUUUUCCGUGGAUGGUAGGACAGCUCUGUGUCCUCUGCAGAAUCUAUCUCCAGCCGAGGCCUGGAAGCGGGGCUGGGAAACCUCAGGGCAGCGUAACUUGUUGCUGCCUCAGAUGGGAAGUCGGGGACAGCGGAGAUCCUUUGGCGGGUCUCCCUCGCUUACAGCCUGAAGCCUCUAGCUCACAAGGAUGCCAAAGCUCAAUGGAAGGCCUUGCCUAGGCUAUUAGGCACCUGCCAUUCCUCCGGGUCACCCUAAGCUUUGAACACUCUGCCUGUAGUCGGAGAGUUCCUUACUUAGGAGCCCUUUGCAAAUGAGAAGUGACAAGUUUUCCUUCUCGGCCUCCUUUGCACGUGACCUGGGCUCCAACACUCCGAUUACGCCCAAGCCGGACUCAGGCUCGUGGCCGGGAGAGACGGGCACUGGGCAGAUCUCAGGCAAGGGCCCGGCCACUACAUCCAGUCUGCGGAGAUGGCCCUGACAACAGCUUAGAGGUGGCACUUGGUGCCCAGCAUCGGGGCACUUUGUUCUCAGAGGUGGCGGCACGGGUGUCUCCAGGAAGCAACUCUGUGACGAUGAUCUUGCUCCGUAGCUGCCCUGAGCCCAGCUGCCCGACCUCUGGAGAUUCUGUGAGCCCCCUGAUGACCUCUGCCUGCUUAAACUGGCCAGAAAGCAAUUCUGCUGUCUGCACCAAGGCACCUGGGUACAGGUGGUAACCCUGAGUGCUACCAGAAAAGGGAGAAACGAUCGCUUGGGUGGGACCUCAGGCAAAUGAGCUUUCAAAGAUCCUCAGCCCGGCAGUCCUUCAAGAAAGCGCCACACAGUUAUGGAAUUGACCUGUCAACAGGGAGGGGCUCUGGCCAACAUCACACUCGAAGGUUCCUCCUCCUCUAGAGACAAUAGUGACCUGUCCACGUGACAGUCCAGCCAAGAAUACUGGGCAGAGGACACGGGAGAGAAAACCUGACUGGUUUUUUUCUUCUUCUUAAUCUACUCCUCCAUUUGGAGGAAAUGAGCUAAAAUAAGUGAACCUUGAAGCGAAGGCUGUGGCCUGGGGUGGGCUUUUGUUCCGGAAUCAGGGGAGCGAAUGCAAAUGAACCCAGAGCUGUCCUUCCCAUUGUGGCCCUGAUCUCUUUGACGUCACACACAUUAGGCAAAUUCCGCCAGCUCAGUCUCCAUCAAUAACCCCCGCGGGGAUGACGCGUCUCCCAAGAGAGAAAAAGGACAAAUUCUCAGGCACGGAUGUUCAUUUCUAGGCUGCGGAACCUCUAAAGUAAUAAAAGGCCAACAAUAAUUAGAAAGUGUUUUUGUAAUACUCUCCUCUCGGAAGACAGUAACACACAAAGGUGCUCGGAGACUCGUGCUAAUGGGAAAAUGGGAUGUUCUGAAAAGAGCCCCUUUGAAUCUGCACUCCCCGGCCAGCUCCCCGGCAGUUGCAGAUGCACAGAUUAAGGGUCUGGCUUUCCAAUUUUCAGAAAAUACAGGGCAAGAACUUUCUGGAUGGAAGUGAGGCUUAAAAAGAAAAAGAGAAGAAAGGCGGUGAAUUAAAAGGAGACACAGACAUUUAUGUUCAUUCUUACUUUUCUCAGUUCCAUAGAGUUUCCUUCCCGAGCAUCAUGAAAUUAGGAUGUUUCCAAAAAAAAUACACGGGCUCUUUGUCCAUUGGGGAAAACUCUACUGCCCUUCUCUGAAUGUCCAAAGGCAAGAACAAUGGGUGAUGGGCAUAUCUCACAGCCUGACCACAAACACAUCAAGUGUGGGCCCCAGGAGCCGGUACAAAGCAAGCCUUUAGUAUACAUCCUAUGAUUGGUUGAGGGAAGGAAGGAUGAAAUAAAUAGCUCUCCAUUCCCCUAACCUGUGGCCUGGCACCCAUUUCCUCUCCACUCCUCCAAAAACCUGGACAUCUACUCAUUCACUCAAUAACUAUUUAUUGAGCCCCCGCUAUGUGCCAGGCACUGUUCUAGGUGUUGGGGUGGGUUACAAGGUGGAUCAGACAGAUGGAAGUCUUGCCCUUCUGGAUCUUAAAUCUUAAUAGGGGAAGCAGGUUAUCAAUAAGACACACGUAAGUUAAAUUAUGUGAGAUCGUGGCAUGUGCUUCGGAGACGGAACGGAACAGAGACGAGGCACAGGAGGUAGCAGGGGAGGGUUGCGACCUCAUUGUCUCUGAAAGCAACUUAAUAUUAGCCGGUUGGACUCAUUUAAGUGCUCCUUCCUCCUGAUGUCUUUGCUGGCCAUCCUGGCCCAUUUAUUGAUGGUGAGCCGACUUCUCAGUGACCCUGUCUACCUAGGGUUUCUCAACAUCGGCAUUACUGACUGACAUUCUGGCGGGCUCGUUCUCGGGUUGUGGGUGUCCUGUGCCUUGUGCGAUGUUUAGCAGCACCCUUGGCCCCUACCCACUCCGUAUCAGUAGUACUUAGACCCCCAGCUGUGACAACUAAAAUGUCUCUGGACGUUGCCGAUGUCCCCUGAGGGGUAAACGUCAUCGUGGUUGAGAAGCAAUGGUCUACCUGGCUGUUCAAACAGUGCCAGUGGGCCAGCAGUAUGAGCACUGCCUGGGGAUGGGCCAGAAGUGCAGAAUCUCAG